CCAAGCCCUGCCUGGCAUCCUCAAGAGGAGACAUGCCGCAGACCAUCUUGCUUCCAGCUCUUUCGCAAUGUGAGAAAGAACUCGUUUUCCAUUGGGAUAUUACAGCCUGCCGGGAACCUCUAAUACAAAGACAUGAAACGCACUUUGUUUCCAGCCCUUAUCUCGCCGCCUUGGAAAUUCAUCUCUAAGUCUUGUUCUACAUUGCUCUAGAGGUGGAAGUCACAAACCGCUGAGUCAUUGCCUCCAAAGGAGACAGGCCACAAAGGGUCUUGCUUCCAGCUCUUUGGGAAGGUAAGAAACAACUCGCUCUCCACAGUGCUCUUACAGCCUACCGGGAACAUCUCUCACAAAUCCUGUGAAAAGCAGUUUCUUCCCAGCCAUGAUCUCCCUGAAGUAGAAAUUCUGCUCUGCCGUGUAAUACAUUUCCCAAGAGGUGGAUGUCACAAAGCGCUGCCUGGCUCCCUUAAGAUGAGACAGGCCACAGACCGUCUUCUUCCAGCUCUUUUGCAAGGUGAGAAAGAAGUCACUUUCCCCUGGGCUCUUACAGCCUAACAUGAACCUCUCAUACAAAGACAUGAAUUGCAGUUUGUUUCCAGCCCAGAUGUCAGAGCCUUGGAACUUCUGCUAUAAGCCAUGUCCUACAUUGCUCUAGAUUUGGAAGUGACAAAGUGCUGAGUCAUUGCCUCCAAAGGAGGCAAGCCAAAAGCAGUCUUUCUUCCAUCUCUUUGGAAAGCUAAGAAACAACUCGCUCUCAAGAGUGCUCUUAGAGCCGACUGGGCACAUCUCACAAAAAGGCCUGUGAAACGCAGUUUCUUCCCAGCCCUGAUCUCGCUGAAGUAGAACUUCUGCUCUGCCAUGUCCUACAUUGCCCUAGAGGUGCAAUGCACAAUGUUCUGCCUUGGUUCCUCAAGGGGAGACAGGCCACAAAGAUUCUUGCUUCCAGAUAUUUGGGAAGCUAAGAAACAUCUGGCUCUCCCCAGUGCUCUUAUGGCCUACCAGGAACAUCUCUCACAAAUCCUAUGAAACGCAGUUUCUUUCCAGCCAUGAUCUCUCUGAAGCAGAACUUCUGCCCUGCAGUGUAAUACAUUGCCCUAGAGGUGCAAGGCACAAUGGGAUGCCUGACUUCCUGAAGAGGAGACAGGCCACAGACCAUCUUGCUUCCAGCUCUUUGGCAAGGUGAGAAAGAACUCGCUUUCCACAGGUCUCUUACAGCCUA
rnacentral:lncRNA from 1 species